UCCCUGGUAGUCCAGUGGUUAGGACUCUGCGGUUCUACUGCAGGGGGUCCAGGUUCGAUCCCUGGUCGGGGAA